rnacentral:rRNA from 1 species
UGAACGCUAGCUACAGGCUUACCACAUGCAAGUCGAGGGGAAACGAUGAGAGAGCUUGCUCUCUUAGGCGUCGACCGGCGCACGGGUGAGUAACGCGUAUCCAACCUACCCAUUACAGGGGGAUAACCUUGCGAAAGUAAGACUAAUACCCCAUGGCAUUUUAUGGUGGCAUCAUUAUAGGAUUAAAGAUUUAUUGGUAAUGGAUGGGGAUGCGUCUGAUUAGCUUGUUGGCGGGGUAACGGCCCACCAAGGCAACGAUCAGUAGGGGUUCUGAGAGGAAGGUCCCCCACAUUGGAACUGAGACACGGUCCAAACUCCUACGGGAGGCAGCAGUGAGGAAUAUUGGUCAAUGGGCGAGAGCUUGAACCAGCCAAGUAGCGUGCAGGAUGACGGCCCUAUGGGUUGUAAACUGCUUUUAUAGGGGAAUAAAGUGAGCUACGUGUAGUUUAUUGCAUGUACCCUAUGAAUAAGGACCGGCUAAUUCCGUG